AGGGAUCAUUACCGUGACCCCGGUCUUACCACCGGGAUGUUCAUAACCCUUUGUUGUCCGACUCUGUUGCCUCCGGGGCGACCCUGCCUUCGGGCGGGGGCCCCGGGUGGACACUUCAAACUCUUGCGUAACUUUGCAGUCUGAGUAAACUUAAUUAAUAAAUUAAAACUUUUAACAACGGAUCUCUUGGUUCUGGCAUCGAUGAAGAACGCAGCGAAAUGCGAUAAGUAAUGUGAAUUGCAGAAUUCAGUGAAUCAUCGAAUCUUUGAACGCACAUUGCGCCCCCUGGUAUUCCGGGGGGCAUGCCUGUUCGAGCGUCAUUUCACCACUCAAGCCUCGCUUGGUAUUGGGCAACGCGGUCCGCCGCGUGCCUCAAAUCGACCGGCUGGGUCUUCUGUCCCCUAAGCGUUGUGGAAACUAUUCGCUAAAGGGUGUUCGGGAGGCUACGCCGUAAAACAACCCCAUUUCUAAGGUUGACCUCGGAUCAGGUAGGGAUACCCGCUGAACUUAAGCAUAUCAAUAAGCGGAGGA
rnacentral:rRNA from 1 species